AGGACGGAUGAAGUAUAAAACUAAUACUUUAAAGGGAUAACUGCCUUAAAAGUCACCAACUUUGCCCAAAUUUCGGUUUUCCCACGACCUAUAAAAUUGACGUAUAAAGUCACCAAGUUUGCAUUCAGUCACUGAUUUCUCAUGAUGGUUUUUCCGGCGAAAGAGUGAGCUGACGUGUCGUAUUUAAUUGAUGUGGCGUCUCGUGGUGGCUGACAUGGGCAACAAUUAUUGACUGUGCAAACCGCCGGUGCAAGAACUUCCUCUGCUUCGAGGGAAAUCCUCCACUUCUCAGAGCUUAAUCUGGGUGGAGGAGAAGGGUUUAAGUUUCUGCAGUUAAACCCAGAUCAUUGAGAAAGCACCUUCCUUUGCAAACGGCGUCGUUGCAGUUAAGGUUGAAAAGCAACUCGUACAGAAUAAUCCGCCGCCGCCGCUCCUCUCUGCUCCGCCACCAGUAGUAGCGGUUGGAGCAGUUGCGAAAAAAAGCCCCUCACCACCCCCACCCCCGCUGCCUAUUCCGGCAAACAAAGGUCCUUCUCCAUCAUCGACGAAGCCGCCGCCUAAUAAGCGGUCAUCUUCAGUCGGAGAAAGCUCUAGCGAGAAAGCAAAACUGAAACCCUUGCACUGGGAUAAGAUUUGACGGAGACCUAAUGGAAGCCCUCUUCGGAUCAGUAGCAGUGAACAGAAGUUCCCCAAGUGGCGGCGACACCAAUAAACCACCGAGUCCAUUAAGCAACAAAUCCGGGCCUCCGUCGCAGAUAUUCCUCCUCGACACGCAGCGAUCACAAAACACUGCCAUCGUCCUCAAAUCCCUCGCCCUCUCCAGAAAAGAAAUCAUCGACGCUCUAAACAAAGGCCGCGGCCUAAGCAGUGACACAAUCGAGAAGCUCGCCACGUCGUUUUAGGUUUAGAAACGACGUCGUUUCAUCCCUUUUCCGAUGACAUCCACGUCAACUUUCAGGCAUGCCACAUAGGACACUUACUUACCAGAAAACACAGGGUCGGGUCAAUUUGGGAGAUACUAGCAACCCGACAAAGUUGGUGACUUUAUACGCCAAUUUUAUAGGUCGUGGGAAAAACCGGAAUUUAGGCAAAGUUUGUGACUUUUAAGGCAGUUAUCCCUACUUAAUAUAUCUCAUAUUCCACUCA